rnacentral:misc_RNA from 1 species
AACGCACAUUGCGCCCCCUGGUAUUCCGGGGGGCAUGCCUGUUCGAGCGUCAUCAAAACCCUCAAGCCCCGCUUGGUUUUGGGUGCGGCCCCUCCGUGGGCCCUCCCGCAACUCGUCGGCGGCAGGUGCCGGCCACCGGGCGUAGCAGAAACGUCGCCCCGGGGACCGGUGCCCGCAGCCGCACAACGACCACAUAUUUUGACCUCGGAUCAGGUAGGGAUACCCGCUGAACUUAA